rnacentral:rRNA from 1 species
UACAGAGGGUGCUAGCGUUGUCCGGAAUCAUUGGGCGUAAAGAGCUCGUAGGCGGUUUGUCGCGUCUGCUGUGAAAACUCGGGGCUUAACCCCGGGCCUGCAGUGGGUACGGGCAGACUAGAGUGCGGUAGGGGAGACUGGAAUUUCCGGUGUAGCGGUGAAAUGCGUAGAUAUCGGAAGGAACAUCGAGUGGCGAAGGCGACUUCCUGGACCAAUACUGACGCUCAGGUGCGAAAGCGUGGGGAGCAAACAGGG